GCUCUCGUAGCUCAGUAGGUAGAGCGUCGCCUUGGUAAGGCGGAGGUCUCGGGUUCAAGUCCCGUCGGGAGCU
rnacentral:tRNA from 2 species